UAAUAUGUCCAUCCGUUCAAAUCUCUAGGAACCUCUUCGGCUCUUCCCAUCAUCCACAGAUCCACUCAUAAUUCCAUAUAUUUUCCUUUUCUUUUCCUUCCCAGACAGCAGGUUUUAAUUCAGUUUCAUGUUGGUGCUUACUUCUUGUGUCACGGUGCAUCACUUUGUAUGAGGAUGCAAACUAUUUGGAAGAUGGUCAUCAAAGUGAAUCUAGGUGCAUCAGUUUUCAGAUAAUAUGUCAUUAAAGUGAAUCUUGGUGCAUCGGUUUUUUGCUAAUAUAUGAUUGAAGUUAAUCAUGUUGGAGGUUGAAGAUGAGCCAUCAAAGUGAAUCAUUGUGCAUCAAUGCAUUAGUUUCAGAAUUUUGAUAAUAUGUCAAAAAAGUUAAUGAAGCCGGAGGUUGAAGAUGGAUUAUCAAAGUAAAUAAAAGUAUAUCAACAUGCAUCAGAUGUCUUGCUUUUUUUUUGUGCAUCAACGAUUUGAUAAUUUACGGUUGUGCAUCACCAUUUUCGUUGAUA